rnacentral:rRNA from 1 species
UACGGAGGAUGCAAGCGUUAUCCGGAAUGAUUGGGCGUAAAGCGUCCGCAGGUGGCUGUGUAAGUCUGCUGUUAAAGAGCAAGGCUCAACCUUGUAAAGGCAGUGGAAACUACACGGCUAGAGUGCGUUCGGGGCAGAGGGAAUUCCUGGUGUAGCGGUGGAAUGCGUAGAGAUCAGGAAGAACACCGGUGGCGAAAGCGCUCUGCUAGGCCGCAACUGACACUGAGGGACGAAAGCUAGGGGAGCGAAUGGG